AUACUUAUCUGGCAGAAGAGAUACCAUGAUCACGAAGGUAGUUUUCCCAGGGCGAGGCUUAUCCUUUGCACCCCGGAUGUGCUGACCCCUGCGAUUUCGCCAAAUGUGGGAAACUCGACUGCAUAAUUUGUGGUAGUGGGGGACUGUGUUCAUGCUCUCCCCUG
ensembl:snRNA U1 U1 spliceosomal RNA